rnacentral:rRNA from 1 species
AUUGAACGCUGGCGGCAUGCUUUACACAUGCAAGUCGAACGGCAGCGCGGGCUUCGGCCUGGCGGCGAGUGGCGAACGGGUGAGUAAUACAUCGGAACGUGCCCAGUAGUGGGGGAUAGCUCGGCGAAAGCCGGAUUGAUACCGCAUACGACCUGAGGGUGCAAGCGGGGGAUCUUCGGACCUCGCGCCAUUGGAGCGGCCGAUGGCAGAUUAGCUAGUUGGUGGGGUAAAGGCCUACCAAGGGGACGAUCGGUAGCUGGUCUGAGAGGGAGACCAGCCACACUGGGACUGAGACACGGCCCAGACUCCUACGGGAGGCCGCAGUGGGGAAUUUUGGACGAUGGGCGAGAGCCUGAUCCAGCAAUGCCGCGUGUGUGAUGAAGGCCUUCGGGUUGUAAAGCACUUUUGGCGGGAACGAAAAGAACUGUGCUAAUACCACGGUUCGAUGACGGUACCCGGAGAAUAAGCACCGGCUAACUACGUG